rnacentral:misc_RNA from 1 species
ACUUAGGUCAUAUAUUUUAUGGAAAAUUUUAACUAAGCUGUGGUAUUUACUCUGGAAUUUCCUUAUAAGCGUUUGUUUCAACAAUAUUGACUUAAACACAUUCGACCUUUCUUGACGUAAGAUUUUAUUGAUAUUUUAUGUGGUUACAUACAUUUAAGCAGACAACGUAUACUUAUUUCCAUUAAAAAAACUUUCUUCCUCUGAAUGUUAUCAACAAGUGUUAUACUAAAGGUAACUGAAGAAUUAAAAAACUUUAAAAUUUUUGUUUUCAAAACAUGUUAACACUCCUGUCUUACAUAACUCCUUAACCCACCAAUAUCAAUUUUGUUUGUGAUUUCUGUGAUAAAUAAAUGUGCAAUC